GACAGAGGGUGCAAACGUUGUUCGGAAUUACUGGGCGUAAAGCGCGUGUAGGCGGCUUGGCAAGUCGGGUGUGAAAGCCCUGGGCUCAACCUAGGAAGUGCACUCGAAACUGCUUCGCUUGAGUGUCGGAGAGGAAAGCGGAAUUCUCGGUGUAGAGGUGAAAUUCGUAGAUAUCGAGAGGAACACCGGUGGCGAAGGCGGCAUCCUGGACCGGCAUUGACGCUGAGGCGCGAAAGCCAGGGGAGCAAACGGG
rnacentral:rRNA from 1 species